UGGAAUAAUUGGACAAUGGGCGCAAGCCUGAUCCAGCCAUGCCGCGUGUGUGAAGAAGGCUUAUGGUUGUAAAGCACUUUAAGCGAGGAGGAGGCUACUCUAGUUAAUACUAGAGAUAGUGGACGUUACUCGCAGAAUAAGCACCGGCUAACUCUGUGCCAGCAGCCGCGGUAAUACAGAGGGUGCAAGCGUUAAUCGGAUUUACUGGGCGUAAAGCGCGCGUAGGCGGCUAAUUAAGUCAAAUGUGAAAUCCCCGAGCUUAACUUGGGAAUUGCAUUCGAUACUGGUUAGCUAGAGUGUGGGAGAGGAUGGUAGAAUUCCAGGUGUAGCGGUGAAAUGCGUAGAGAUCUGGAGGAAUACCGAUGGCGAAGGCAGCCAUCUGGCCUAACACUGACGCUGAGGUGCGAAAGCAUGGGGAGCAAACAGGAUUAGAUACCCUGGUAGUCCAUGCCGUAAACGAUGUCUACUAGCCGUUGGGGCCUUUGAGGCUUUAGUGGCGCAGCUAACGCGAUAAGUAGACCGCCUGGGGAGUACGGUCGCAAGACUAAAACUCAAAUGAAUUGACGGGGGCCCGCACAAGCGGUGGAGCAUGUGGUUUAAUUCGAUGCAACGCGAAGAACCUUACCUGGCCUUGACAUAGUAAGAACUUUCCAGAGAUGGAUUGGUGCCUUCGGGAACUUACAUACAGGUGCUGCAUGGCUGUCGUCAGCUCGUGUCGUGAGAUGUUGGGUUAAGUCCCGCAACGAGCGCAACCCUUUUCCUUAUUUGCCAGCGAGUAAUGUCGGGAACUUUAAGGAUACUGCCAGUGACAAACUGGAGGAAGGCGGGGACGACGUCAAGUCAUCAUGGCCCUUACGGCCAGGGCUACACACGUGCUACAAUGGUCGGUACAAAGGGUUGCUACCUAGCGAUAGGAUGCUAAUCUCAAAAAGCCGAUCGUAGUCCGGAUUGGAGUCUGCAACUCGACUCCAUGAAGUCGGAAUCGCUAGUAAUCGCGGAUCAGAAUGCCGCGGUGAAUACGUUCCCGGGCCUUGUACACACCGCCCGUCACACCAUGGGAGUUUGUUGCACCAGAAGUAGCUAGCCUAACUGCAAAGAGGGCGGUUACCACCGGUGGCCA
rnacentral:rRNA from 1 species